AACGAACGCUGGCGGCAUGCCUAACACAUGCAAGUCGAACGAGACCUUCGGGGCUAGUGGCGCACGGGUGGGUAACGCGUGGGAACCUGCCCUUAGGUUCGGAAUAACUCCCCGAAAGGGGUGCUAAUACCGGAUAAUGUCUUCGGACCAAAGAUUUAUCGCCUUUGGACGGGGCCGCGUUGGAUUAGCUAGUUGGUAGGGUAAAAGCCUACCAAGGCGACGAUCCAUAGCUGGUCUGAGAGGAUGAUCAGCCACACUGGGACUGAGACACGGCCCAGACUCCUACGGGAGGCAGCAGUGGGGAAUAUUGGACACUGGGCGAAAGCCUGAUCCAGCAAUGCCGCGUGAGUGAUGAAGGCCUUAGGGUUGUAAAGCUCUUUUACCCGGGAUGAUAAUGACGGUACCGGGAGAAUAAGCUCCGGCUAACUCCGUG
rnacentral:rRNA from 1 species